rnacentral:rRNA from 1 species
GGACCCGCACAAGCAGUGGAGCAUGUGGUUUAAUUCGAAGAUACGCGCAGAACCUUACCAACACUUGACAUGUUCGUCGCGAGCCUAAGAGAUUAGGCUUUUCAGUUUGGCUGGACGAAACACAGGUGCUGCAUGGCUGUCGUCAGCUCGUGUCGUGAGAUGUUGGGUUAAGUCCCGCAACGAGCGCAACCCCCUACUUUUAGUUGCCACCAUUUAGUUGGGCACUUUAAAAGAACUGCCAGUGAUAAGCUGGAGGAAGGUGGGGAUGACGUCAAGUCCUCAUGGCCCUUAUGUGUUGGGCUACACACGUGCUACAAUGGCACUUACAAUGGGAUGCAAAGAGGCGACUCUAAGCUAAUCCCUAAAAUGUGCCUCAGUUCGGAUUGUACUCUGUAACUCGAGUGCAUGAAGCUGGAAUUGCUAGUAAUCG